UUUUAGAACCUGUUGUGCGGGUCCCAGAAGGUGUUGCUUCUCGAUUAACAGUAGAUAUCAGAGGAGGUUUUUCUUUUUCGGUUGACCCUAGCGGUUGACUUUGUAACGGAACUAGGCUUUGAUUAUAAGUCAGGUGUUGAAAAUCUGCAAGAUAACUAGUAGUGCCGGUGUCCCAUAAAGAAGUGGUUGACUUCCCGAUUUUGACCCAUCGACUUUGGCAAGUACUCUUACUCGGUACAGACUUGACCACAUCGGGGUUAGUUUUAAAAUGCCCUCCGGAAACAUGUGACCAAGGAAAUGUUGGUAAGCUACCUCCGUUGUGUUACCUUUUGAGGUUGAAGUAGGCUUCGUGCUGUCAAGAAGCAUAAGAUCAAGAUCCUUAUGAGGAGGAAGAGUUAAACGGUCCAAAACAUCCUUUGGUUCAAACAAUGGAAACUGAAGUAUAUUUGCAUGGUGAUCAGUGGGAC
rnacentral:lncRNA from 1 species